GCACUGCCGACGAGUCCCAAAAUAAGACGAAGCGACCGUCCAGUGC
rnacentral:hammerhead_ribozyme from 1 species